AAAGAGCUUUUUGAAGAGAGAGAUAAAGAGGUCGUACCGAAGAUGAGGAAGCGGAAGAUAGCACCAGUUUUUGUCUCUUGUAUUCCUCCACUCGCAAGAAGCGCUCGUGCAGCUGGCGCCCCCAGCUGGCGACAGUUGGGCGUAUCAUGCACGUCGGGAGUAGUUCUUCAGCAGGUGGUGUCCGGCGAGCUUCUGGCCGCAGCAGUAAGCCCCCUUUUUGGACGGCAGCUUGGUGCUCCCCGUCGGGGGAGGGGUUUUUUUUUUUUUUUCUAAAAAGGGCAUGGCUUACGGGCCCGUUUAUGGCCGAGCUGUGGGUCGGCGGCGGUCGCUUGCGACACGUGCUGUGCCAGCAGUUCGGUCCUGGUCGAGCUCCCCCAUUGCCUAUUCUCGGUGUAAGAGCUGGUCAUCUCUCCGACCCGUCUUGAAACACGGACCAAGGAGUUUAUCGUGUGCGCGAGUCAUUGGGCGUUGAAAACCCAAAGGCGCAAUGAAAGUGAAGUGCCACGCAAGUGGCUGAUGUGCGAUGUUGUGUUCCACGGAACACGACCGCAGCAUGGCCCCAUCCUGGCUGCUUGCAGCGGGGUGGAGGAAGAGCGUGCGCGAUGAGACCCGAAAGAUGGUGAACUAUUCCUGAGCAGGAUGAAGCCAGAGGAAACUCUGGUGGAAGUCCGAAGCGAUUCUGACGUGCAAAUCGAUCGUC
rnacentral:rRNA from 1 species